AGCGAACGUUAGCGGCAGGCCUAACACAUGCAAGUCGCGCGAGAAUGGGGCUUCGGCUCCUAGUAAAGCGGCGGACGGGUGAGUAACACGUGGAUAAUCUGCCCUUCGGCGGGGGACGAACAGUACCGAAAGGAUUGCUAAUACCGCGUAAGUCGGCGAGGUCUUCGGAUCUUGUCGGGAAAGAUGGCCUCUUCAUGAAAGCUAUCACCGAAGGAUGAGUCCGCGUCCCAUCAGCUAGUUGGCGGUGUAAGAGACCACCAAGGCUAAGACGGUAGCUGGUCUGANAGGGCGACCGGCCACACUGGGACUGAGACACGGCCCAGACUCCUACGGGAGGCAGCAGUGGGAAUCUUGCGCAAUGGGCGAAAGCCUGAACGCAGCGACGCCGCGUGAGGGAUGACGGCCU
rnacentral:rRNA from 1 species